CUGGAAACGGUGGCUAAUACCGGAUGUGCCGAGAGGUGAAAGGCUUGCUGCCUGAAGAAGAGCUUGCGUCUGAUUAGCUAGUUGGUGGUGUAAGAGACUACCAAGGCGACGAUCAGUAGCUGGUCUGAGAGGAUGAUCAGCCACACUGGGACUGAGACACGGCCCAGACUCCUACGGGAGGCAGCAGUGGGGAAUUUUCCGCAAUGGGCGAAAGCCUGACGGAGCAAUACCGCGUGAGGGAGGAAGGCUCUUGGGUUGUAAACCUCUUUUCUCAGGGAAGAACAAAAUGACGGUACCUGAGGAAUAAGCAUCGGCUAACUCCGUGCCAGCAGCCGCGGUAAUACGGAGGAUGCAAGCGUUAUCCGGAAUGAUUGGGCGUAAAGAGUCCGUAGGUGGCAUUGAAAGUCUGCUGUUAAAGAGUCUAGCUCAACUAGAUAAGAGCAGUGGAAACUACAAAGCUAGAGUUUGGUCGGGGCAGAAGGAAUUCCUGGUGUAGCGGUGAAAUGCGUAGAGAUCAGGAAGAACACCGGUGGCGAAGGCGUUCUGCUAGGCCGAGACUGACACUGAGGGACGAAAGCUAGGGGAGCGAAUGGGAUUAGAUACCCCAGUAGUC
rnacentral:rRNA from 1 species